UGCAGUUUGGGAGGUUUUUGGAAGA
rnacentral:piRNA from 1 species